rnacentral:lncRNA from 1 species
CCUACAGGCUGCUGCUGCUGCUCGUGGGAUAUGUGGGUCUUCCUACCUCUUCCUUUUUUGGGGGGGGUUCUUUUUUUCGGAGCUGGGGACCGAAAGCGCUCUACCACUGAGCUAAAUCCCCAGCCCCUUCCUACCUCUUCCUAAUGGGAAAGAAAUAUUGUCCAAAGGUUGUCUCCUAGGUGAUUCUGGAGCGGGUCGCGUCAACAAUCAAUUUGAACCGCCGUAUCACUUCAUGCCCUGCCCGGAUGGACACCUGCCUUUCGCUAAUGAAUGCAGAUUUGGCCAGCUAUCCUGUAUAAGACGAACUAACAGUUCAUCAUGGUCAUAAGCCUAAAUUCCGGACAUGGUAAAUUCUCAUACCAUUCUCCAGUCACCAUCUGAGUCUUUGGGAGAUAGUCAAACACUUCCUGUUCCUGUUAGUUUGGAUCUUCGAGUCAAAACAACUCAGAGUCACCAGGAAGAGGACAUCUCAACUGAAGAAUUGCGUGGAUCAGAUUGGCCUAUGUAGAACUCAGCUCCUCCUGCACCAUGCCUGCCUGGAUUCUGCGAUGCUGCCAUGUUCCCGCCUUGAUGAUAAUGGACCGAACCUCUGAACCUGGAUGGCAUCUAAGGGAAACUACAUGGGCUGACAUCUAAAGUCUUUUGGACUGUGAAAGAUCAGAUGGCUUC